rnacentral:rRNA from 1 species
GUCUCUACGAAAAAUAAUAUACMGUCUAGCCUGCCCAGUGAAUAACUUAAAUGGCCGCGGUAUCCUGACCGUGCAAAGGUAGCAUAAUAAUUAGUUUUUUAAUUGAAAGCUUGCAUGAAUGGCUGGACAAAGAAAAAUCUGUUUCUACUUUUUUUUUUAAAUUUUACUUUUAGGUGAAAAGGCCUAAAUAAAUUUAAUAGACGAUAAGACCCUAUAAAUCUUUAUAUGAUCUUUUCUUAUGAGUAAUUAUUUGAGUUUAUUUUUUAUAAAAAAAAGAUAUAUUUUGUUGGGGCGACAAGAAUACUAAAACUGUUCUAAUUUUCAAACAAAAAUUUUUGUCUAUAGUAGAUCCUUCACUGAAGAUUAAAAAUUUAAGUUACUUUAGGGAUAACAGCGUAAUUUUUUUUGAGAGUUCAUAUCGACAAAAAAGUUUGCGACCUCGAUGUUGAAUUAAAGUUUCUUUAUAAUGCAGCAGUUAUAAAAGUAAGUCUGUUCGACUUUUAAAACUUU